GAUGAAGAACGUAGCGAAAUGCGAUAAGUAAUGUGAAUUGCAGAAUUCAGUGAAUCAUCGAAACUUUGAACGCAUCUUGCGCUCCUUGGUAUUCUGAGGAGCAUGCCUGUUUGAGUGUCAUUAAAUUCUCAACUACACUGACUUUGAAUUGGUGUGGCUUGGAUUUGGGGGGAAAAUUGUUGUGGGCUUUUUGUAUAGUCUGCUCCCCUGAAAUUGAUUAGCGGUACCUUUGUGGAACUGUCUACAGGUGUGAUAAUUAUCUACAUCUUAGACAUCUGCUGGAAUGCUGCUUUCUAAACCUUACUUGUAUUGACAAUCUUGACCUCAAAUCAGGUAGGACUACCCGCUGAACUUAAGCAUAUCAAUAAGCGGAGGA
rnacentral:misc_RNA from 1 species